GGAACCGAGUGUGAUCGUCUGGGCGGUGUCUUCACUCUGCGGGGAUGAUGGCCAGAGGAAGGAUGAUAGACAGACGACAGCUUGCAGACGAAGAUGGGAGCGUUCUACCUGUGAGCCUGGUCGAGCUUAUAUUUUAUGGAUACACAUGCAUGGAUACACAUACAUGGAUUCCCUACAAGGACCCUGCGCAUCAAAAGCAAUCUGUCAUCAAUGUUAAGUAGACA